rnacentral:rRNA from 1 species
AGUUAAGAUAGUAAGGGCAACUGGUGGAUGCCUUGGCGCCAGGAGGCGAUGAAGGACGUGGUGGGCUGCGAUAAGCCUCGGGGAGCCGCCUAACAGGCUUUGAUCCGGGGAUUUCCGAAUGGGGCAACCCGCCCGGAGUCAUGUCCGGGCAUCCCUUGACCGAAUCCAUAGGUCAGGGGAAGCGAACCCGGGGAACUGAAACAUCUAAGUACCCGGAGGAGAGGAAAUCAACCGAGAUUCCCUCAGUAGCGGCGAGCGAACGGGGAAGAGCCCAAACCUCGGUCUUACGAGGCCGGGGGGUUGUAGGGCCUCCAUUGAGGCGAUCCGUGAGUAGGUAGCAAAAUGAGCUGGAAAGCUCAGCCAUAGAGGGUGACAGCCCCGUAUGCGAAACCGAACAG